UACGGGGGGAGCAAGCGUUGUUCGGAUUUACUGGGCGUAAAGGGCGCGUAGGCGGUCAGCACAAGUCAGUUGUGAAAUCUCCGGGCUUAACUCGGAAAGGUCAACUGAUACUGUGCGACUAGAGUGCAGAAGGGGCAACUGGAAUUCCCGGUGUAGCGGUGAAAUGCGCAGAUAUCAGGAGGAACACCAGCGGCGAAGGCGGCGCUCUGGGCCGGUACUGACACUGAGGGAGCGAAAGCGUGGGGUAGCAAACAGGA
rnacentral:rRNA from 1 species